rnacentral:rRNA from 1 species
UACGUAGGGGGCUAGCGUUGUCCGGAAUCAUUGGGCGUAAAGCGCGUGUAGGCGGCCCGGUAAGUCCGCUGUGAAGGUCGGGGGCUCAACCCUCGGAUGCCGGUGGAUACUGCCGGGCUAGAGUACGGAAGAGGCGAGUGGAAUUCCUGGUGUAGCGGUGAAAUGCGCAGAUAUCGGGAAGAACACCCGUGGCGAAGGCGGCUCUCUGGGACGGUACUGACGCUGAGACGCGAAAGCGUGGGGAGCGAACAGG